UACGAGGGGGGCAAGCGUUGUUCGGAAUUAUUGGGCGUAAAGGGUGCGUAGGCGGUCUGAUAAGUCAUCUGUGAAAUCUAUGGGCUCAACCCAUAGUCUGCAGGCGAAACUGUCGGGCUUGAGUAUGGGAGAGGUGAGUGGAAUUUCCGGUGUAGCGGUGAAAUGCGUAGAUAUCGGAAGGAACACCUGUGGCGAAGGCGGCCGGCUGGGGGUGCCCUGACGCUGAGGCGCGAAAGCGUGGGGAGCGAACCGG
rnacentral:rRNA from 1 species